AGAGUUUGAAACCAUGACUCAAAGCUUGGCCAAAGUGAGACAGAGAGUAAAUGGUAGAGACAGCACCAGGAUGCCCUUCUGUGACAUCACUCUGGCCAUCCCAACAGAGCCUGCGGCUGGUUCACACAGUUCACACAGGCGAGAGGGCACCAAGCUCUUCUCCUCCAAUCUUCAGAUCUCUGAAGCUUAGCGUGGCCAGCUGAAGAAAUGGAAGAAGUUCAAGGAAGAUGCCUUAAGUCAGAGAGAGACAUUUAUCUUCUGAUAAGAAGUUAUCUUGACCACCUUAUGAAGGCAGGUGCUCAGGAAGAUGGCCUACUCCUCCAGAAUAGUCAAGGAAAUAUUCUGUGGCAGAUUGGUCCAUUGAAGAGGUCGUCCUGGGUCUCCUUGAAGCACAGAACAAGGAUAUGUGAGCACAUAUAUCUAGAGAUUGUGUCAAUAUUCAAAGUCUCUGGAUGCUCGAAGACUGUGAUUCAAUCUCAGACAUUGUUCAUCCCCAGCAUGCUUUCCAGGAGUUUCUGGUGUUGGUCCUAGCUGCAAUUAGCUCUGUAACCAUAUUAUGUCUUUGACAGAUGCGUGGUCCUUGGCUUUCUCAUCUCCAAAAUGAAGUUAAAAAAAAUAGUAUCAUUAGCGUUUGCUACAAUACGGGGUUUGGAGUCUUCUUGAUGUACAGGGCAAAGGCUGCUUACUUCCCCAGCUCUUUAGUGUUCCACAUGAAUAAGGGACCACACAGAGAAUGAGAUGGUGGUCCCAAAUGGGAGUAUGAGAAAGAGAGGGGAAGAAUACUCAAGGUUCCUAUA